rnacentral:tRNA from 6 species
GGGCCUUUAGCUCAGUUGGUUAGAGCAAACGACUCAUAAUCGUUUGGUCCUUGGUUCAAGUCCAAGAAGGCCCACCA